rnacentral:rRNA from 1 species
UCCCGGCGCCACAAGUAGGGACCAGGGUUAUUGGGCCUAAAGCGUUCGUAGCAGGUCGUAUAAAUCUCUUGUGAAAUCUUUGGGCUUAACCUAACGGCGUGCAGGAGAGACUGUUCGACUUGAGACCGGGAGGGGUUGAGAGUAUUCCUUGGGGAGCGGUAAAAUGCUAUAAUCCUUGGAAGACUACCUGUGGCGAAGGCGCUCAACCAGAACGGGUCUGACUGUGAGGGACGAAAGCCAGGGGAGCAAUCCG